rnacentral:tRNA from 1 species
UCUAAUAUGGCAGAUUAGUGCGGUGGAUUUAAGCCCCAUAUAUAAAGUUUAAACUUUUUUUAGAA